CUUAGGGUCCUCAUUUGUAAAAACAACCACAAACAAAACCCAGGAAGGCUUAGAGACCAUUUCUCCCAGCUCUAAGAUGUCUUUAUUAGAUCUCCUUUCUUUUGGUAGAAACUGCCUUUUUCUUCUGUACUAUAAAAAAUGUUAAUAUCCCUAGAAGCAGUUAUUAACAGGGUAGGAACUUUAAUUAAUACAAACUUAUUUCUUCCCGGAGGAGAAACCUAGGCCCUGUAAGAAGAGGCAGUAAUGAAAGAGGAAAAGAAAGGGAAAGGGAAGGGAGAAAAUAAACACACAUAUACACAGGUAUACUUGUUCUGCAUUAUUUGAUACAUUGUGGACUAUUUUGGCAACAGCCUGUUAAAAGUAUUUCCCCUUUUUUCUUCUUUUUAACCCACUCUUGCCUGCCUCCUAUAACUUUGAGACCCCAUCCCUUCUUUUUUUUUAAUACCAAGUAAAGGAAGAAUGACAGCCAUCAGAUACCAAAUUCACCUACUCGUCAGUUUUGCCCCAUGCCUGGGAGAACAGCAGCAGUGUUGAGCCCCCUUGCAGCCUUGGGAGUGAAGGGACAGCUGUUGUUCCUCAAAAUCAUCUGCACCUGGAUUGGAAUACUUCCACAAACCCGAUUAGGUCCUUCGUGGGGUCACACUUUUCGAAGAAAAGCCGCCAAACCUUGCCUACUCAGUUUACUGGGACGCUCCGGGAGGACCUCGAGACACGAGUCCCCAGACAGGUGAAAAGCAGCCAGAAUGGAAGUCCUCAAACACCCCACACUCAAGCCAUCUGGACUGAAUUACUUGCAGUUUUUCACAGGGGCUGGGGACACAACAGACAAAGCAGAUCCCCGCCUUCGUGAAGCACGCAUUGGCGUCUCAAAUAUUUAAACCACGAAUUCACCAAUGGAGUUUGAGUAGUUAGAAAAGAAAAGAAUUCCAAGGAUUGAGCUUUGGAACAUUCCAACGUCUGGUGUUGAGAGAGAUGAGGAGUAAAGGACAAAGGAAAUUAAGAUGCCACUAAUGAGAACCCCAGGGCUUCGGACCAGCAGGAACCCAGCCACACAGCAGGAGGUGAGCGAGUGAAGCUUCAUCUGCCGCUCCCCAUCACUCCCCAUCACUCGCGUUACUGCCUGAACCAUCCCCACCCCCAACUGGUCCGUGGAAAAAUUGUCUUCCAUGAAAACGGUCCCUGGUGCCAAAAAGAUUGGGGACCGCUGGUCUACUCUAUUUCCAGUUGUGUACCCUAAACACUAUCUGCAGACAUGUAUCUAUACGUCUGAAUCCCAAUAGUGUAUAAAAUUCAAAUUUAUGCUCCAGAAGGCUCCUUAGCCCCCGUGUAAUAAUGAAUAAUCAUCCUUUGUAAUAGAACAAAAAGUAAAAAAACUGAACUCCACUCAGUGAAUGUUCUAAUUGUUUUUCCUAAUUUGUACCAUUAGUAUUAGCUCUAUUAUCUUUAAUCAUAAUAAAUAAUUUA